CCUACGGGAGGCAGCAGUGGGGAAUAUUGGACAAUGGGCGCAAGCCUGACCCAGCGACGCCGCGUGAAGGAAGAAGGCUUUCGGGUUGUAAACUUCUUUUAAGGGGGACGAACAACUGACGGUACCCCUUGAAUAAGCCACGGCUAACUACGUGCCAGCAGCCGCGGUAAUACGUAGGGGGCAAGCGUUAUCCGGAUUUCUUGGGUGUAAAGGGCGUGUAGGCGGGAAUGCAAGUCAGAUGUGAAAGCUAGGGGCUCAACCCAUAGACUGCAUUUGAAACUGUAUUUCUUGAGUGCUGGGGAGGCAGGCGGAAUUCCGGGUGUAGCGGUGAAAUGCGUAGAGAUACGGAGGAACACCGGUGGCGAAGGCGGAUUGCUGGACCGUAACUGACGUUGAGGCGCGAAAGCGUGGGGAGCAAACAGGAUUAGAUACCCUUGUAGUC
rnacentral:rRNA from 1 species